GACAGAGGGUGCAAACGUUGUUCGGAUUUACUGGGCGUAAAGCGCGUGUAGGCGGCCCGGUAAGUCCGCUGUGAAAGUCGGGGGCUCAACCCUCGGAUGCCGGUGGAUACUGUCGGGCUCGAGUACGGAAGAGGCGAGUGGAAUUCCUGGUGUAGCGGUGAAAUUCGUAGAUAUUGGGAAGAACACCGGUGGCGAAGGCGGCGAGCUGGCCUGUGACUGACGCUGAGGCGCGAAAGCGUGGGGAGCAAACAGG
rnacentral:rRNA from 1 species